GACGAACGCUGGCGGCGUGCUUAACGCAUGCAAGUCGAACGGUGAACCGGGCUUCGGCCCGGGGAUCAGUGGCGAACGGGUGCGUAACACGUGGGCAACCUGCCCCAGACACUGGGAUAACUCCGGGAAACCGGGGCUAAUACCGGAUACUCUCAGCCGGCCGCAUGAGCGGCUGAGGAAAGCUCCGGCGGUCUGGGAUGGCCCGCGGCCUAUCAGCUUGUUGGUGGGGUAACGGCCUACCAAGGCGACGACGGGGUAGCUGGUCUGAGAGGGCGACCGGCCACACUGGGACUGAGACACGGCCCAGACUCCUACGGGAGGCAGCAGUGGGGAAUCUUGCGCAAUGGGCGAAAGCCUGACGCAGCGACGCCGCGUGAGGGAUGACGGCCU
rnacentral:rRNA from 1 species